rnacentral:rRNA from 1 species
CCUACGGGAGGCAGCAGUGAGGAAUAUUGGUCAAUGGGCGCAAGCCUGAACCAGCCAUGCCGCGUGCAGGAUGACGGUCCUAUGGAUUGUAAACUGCUUUUGUACAGGAAGAAACACUCCCUCGUGAGGGAGCUUGACGGUACUGUAAGAAUAAGGAUCGGCUAACUCCGUGCCAGCAGCCGCGGUAAUACGGAGGAUCCAAGCGUUAUCCGGAAUCAUUGGGUUUAAAGGGUCCGUAGGCGGGUUUAUAAGUCAGUGGUGAAAGCCCAUCGCUCAACGAUGGAACGGCCAUUGAUACUGUAGAUCUUGAAUUAUUAGGAAGUAACUAGAAUAUGUAGUGUAGCGGUGAAAUGCUUAGAGAUUACAUGGAAUACCGAUUGCGAAGGCAGGUUACUACUAAUGGAUUGACGCUGAUGGACGAAAGCGUGGGUAGCGAACAGGAUUAGAUACCCUGGUAGUCCACGCCGUAAACGAUGGAUACUAGCUGUUCGGAGCAAUCUGAGUGGCUAAGCGAAAGUGAUAAGUAUCCCACCUGGGGAGUACGUUCGCAGAAUGAAACUCAAAGGAAUUGACGGCUGAGAGNGCGAGAGACACGAGGGAGGAGG